AUUGAACGCUGGCGGCAUGCCUUACACAUGCAAGUCGAACGGUAACGGGCCUUCGGGUGCCGACGAGUGGCGAACGGGUGAGUAAUGCAUCGGAACGUACCUUCCAGUGGGGGAUAACGUAGCGAAAGUUACGCUAAUACCGCAUAUUCUGUGAGCAGGAAAGCAGGGGAUCGCAAGACCUUGCGCUGAUUGAGCGGCCGAUGUCAGAUUAGCUAGUUGGUGAGGUAAAGGCUCACCAAGGCGACGAUCUGUAGCGGGUCUGAGAGGAUGAUCCGCCACACUGGAACUGAGACACGGUCCAGACUCCUACGGGAGGCAGCAGUGGGGAAUUUUGGACAAUGGGGGCAACCCUGAUCCAGCCAUGCCGCGUGAGUGAAGAAGGCCUCGG
rnacentral:rRNA from 1 species